rnacentral:tRNA from 1 species
UGCAAAGAGGAGUUAGACCCCAUAAAUGGAAUUACAACCCACCGCUUAUACUUCAGCCACCUUUAC